GACGAGCAAGUCUGGCUUCAGUUGUGUAUCAUGUAGUGGGAGGAAAGGUGUACUGGAUUUCGGAUUAAAAGUGUGAAAGUUACUUUAUUAUGAAUUUCAGUUUGCCACCUUUUCGAGAACAUUUAUAGAAGUUGUACUAGUGAGGUGUGAAAAUUAGAAAAUUCAUCACACUGAUAAUAUUGUAUGAGAGUGCCUGAAGGAUCAAUAUUGCAACUUAACGACUGUACUACCACAAGGAAACUAUCGACCCAGCGAAGACAGUAGUUGGGAUUUACCUCCGGGAUUAAAAACUUCAGGAUCACCCAACACCCACCAAAUCUAGGUUUGUGAGAUGGAUCAGUUCUCCCCGAUGUGAGGCUCUGGAGAUCCCACGCUUUUUUAUACACACGUAGUACUCGUCUCGGUAACACCCGCGGCUGAUACGGUCACCUGGUGGCUCACUCCGCGUGGGGCCGCCCUCACCAGGCCCUCCAAGGCCUUCGUGUGGCGAGGACAAUGAUGAAGGAUAAGGGCUAACAGCGGCGGAUGGCUACACUACCAGAGGAACGACAUGAAGGUAAGGGGGCG